rnacentral:rRNA from 1 species
CAAGGCUUGACAUACAGGGUAAACCGGCGGAAAUGUCGGGUCCGCAAGGGAUCCUGUACAGGUGGUGCAUGGUUGUCGUCAGCUCGUGUCGUGAGAUGUUGGGUUAAGUCCCGCAACGAGCGCAACCCUUGUUCUAUGUUGCCAGCGCGUAAUGGCGGGGACUCAUAGGAGACUGCCGGGGUCAACUCGGAGGAAGGUGGGGAUGACGUCAAAUCAUCAUGCCCCUUAUGUCUUGGGCUUCACGCAUGCUACAAUGGCCAGUACAAAGGGCUGCGAGACCGCAGGGUGGAGCGAAUCCCAAAAAACUGGUCUCAGUUCGGAUUGGGGUCUGCAACUCGACCCCAUGAAGUCGGAGUCGCUAGUAAUCGCAGAUCAGCAACGCUGCGGUGAAUACGUUCCC